AACUUCUGAAUGUUGACCUCGGAUCAGGUAGGAAUACCCGCUGAACUUAAGCAUAUCAAUAGGC
rnacentral:rRNA from 1 species